rnacentral:pre_miRNA from 1 species
AUUUUACUCCCUCCGUCCCAAAAUUCUUGUCUUAGAUUUGUCUAAAUACGGAUGUAUCAAGUCACGUUUUAGUAUUAGAUACAUCCGUAUCUAGACAAAUCUAAGACAAGAAUUUUGAGACGGAGGGAGUACUAA